rnacentral:rRNA from 1 species
UACGUAGGGUCCGAGCGUUGUCCGGAAUUACUGGGCGUAAAGAGCUCGUAGGUGGUUUGUCGCGUUGUUCGUGAAAACUCACAGCUCAACUGUGGGCGUGCGGGCGAUACGGGCAGACUAGAGUACUGCAGGGGAGACUGGAAUUCCUGGUGUAGCGGUGGAAUGCGCAGAUAUCGGGAGGAACACCGGUGGCGAAGGCGGUUCUCUGGGCCUGACCUGACGCUGAGGAGCGAAAGCGUGGGGAGCGAACAGG